rnacentral:rRNA from 1 species
GAUGAACGCUGGCGGCGUGCCUAAUACAUGCAAGUCGAGCGAACGGACGAGAAGCUUGCUUCUCUGAUGUUAGCGGCGGACGGGUGAGUAACACGUGGAUAACCUACCUAUAAGACUGGGAUAACUUCGGGAAACCGGAGCUAAUACCGGAUAAUAUUUUGAACCGCAUGGUUCAAAAGUGAAAGACGGUCUUGCUGUCACUUAUAGAUGGAUCCGCGCUGCAUUGGCUAGUUGGUAAGGUAACGGCUUACCAAGGCAACGAUGCAUAGCCGACCUGAGAGGGUGAUCGGCCACACUGGAACUGAGACACGGUCCAGACUCCUACGGGAGGCAGCAGUAGGGAAUCUUCCGCAAUGGGCGAAAGCCUGACGGAGCAACGCCGCGUGAGUGAUGAAGGUCUUCGGAUCGUAAAACUCUGUUAUUAGGGAAGAACAUAUGUGUAAGUAACUGUGCACAUCUUGACGGUACCUAAUCAGAAAGCCACGGCUAACUACGUGCCAGCAGCCGCGGUAAUACGUAGGUGGCAAGCGUUAUCCGGAAUUAUUGGGCGUAAAGCGCGCGUAGGCGGUUUUUUAAGUCUGAUGUGAAAGCCCACGGCUCAACCGUGGAGGGUCAUUGGAAACUGGAAAACUUGAGUGCAGAAGAGGAAAGUGGAAUUCCAUGUGUAGCGGUGAAAUGCGCAGAGAUAUGGAGGAACACCAGUGGCGAAGGCGACUUUCUGGACUGUAACUGACGCUGAUGUGCGAAAGCGUGGGGAUCAAACAGGAUUAGAUACCCUGGUAGUCCACGCCGUAAACGAUGAGUGCUAAGUGUUAGGGGGUUUCCGCCCCUUAGUGCUGCAGCUAACGCAUUAAGCACUCCGCCUGGGGAGUACGACCGCAAGGUUGAAACUCAAAGGAAUUGACGGGGACCCGCACAAGCGGUGGAGCAUGUGGUUUAAUUCGAAGCAACGCGAAGAACCUUACCAAAUCUUGACAUCCUUUGACAACUCUAGAGAUAGAGCUUUCCCCUUCGGGGGACAAAGUGACAGGUGGUGCAUGGUUGUCGUCAGCUCGUGUCGUGAGAUGUUGGGUUAAGUCCCGCAACGAGCGCAACCCUUAAGCUUAGUUGCCAUCAUUAAGUUGGGCACUCUAAGUUGGCUGCCGGUGACAAACCGGAGGAAGGUGGGGAUGACGUCAAAUCAUCAUGCCCCUUAUGAUUUGGGCUACACACGUGCUACAAUGGACAAUACAAAGGGCAGCGAAACCGUGAGGUCAAGCAAAUCCCAUAAAGUUGUUCUCAGUUCGGAUUGUAGUCUGCAACUCGACUACAUGAAGCUGGAAUCGCUAGUAAUCGUAGAUCAGCAUGCUACGGUGAAUACGUUCCCGGGUCU